rnacentral:rRNA from 1 species
UUAGAGUUUGAUUAUGGCUCAGGAUGAACGCUAGCGGCAGGCUUAACACAUGCAAGUCGAGGGGCAGCGAGGGGUAGCAAUACUCUGUCGGCGACCGGCGGAAGGGUGCGUAACGCGUGAGCAACUUGCCCGUGACAGGAGGAUAACCGCUGGAAACGGCGCCUAAUACUCCAUAACAUUAUUUUUCGCAUGGGGAAUAAUUGAAAGUUACGAUGGUCACGGAUGGGCUCGCGUGGCAUUAGCUAGUCGGUGAGGUAACGGCUCGCCGAGGCGACGAUGCCUAGGGGUUCUGAGAGGAAGGUCCCCCACACUGGAACUGAGACACGGUCCAGACUCCUACGGGAGGCAGCAGUGAGGAAUAUUGGUCAAUGGGCGCGAGCCUGAACCAGCCAUGCCGCGUGAAGGAAUAAGGCCCUAUGGGUCGCAGACUUCUUUUGUGGUGGAGCAAUAAGGACUACGUGUAGUCUGAUGAGAGUACAUCACGAAUAAGCAUCGGCUAACUCCGUGCCAGCAGCCGCGGUAAUACGGAGGAUGCAAGCGGUUAUCCGGAUUUAUUGGGUUUAAAGGGUGCCGUAGGCGGAGCGUGCAAGUCAGCGGUGGAAAUACCAUUGCUUCAACAAUGGGGCUGCCGUUGAUACUGCCGUUCUGGAAUGCGCGUGCCGCGGGAGGAAUGUUGUGGUGUAGCGGUGAAAUGCAUAGAUAUCACACAGAACACCGAUUGCGAAGGCAUCUCGCGAACGCGUGAUUGACGCUGAGGCACGAAAGCGUGGGGAUCGAACAGGAUUAGAUACCCUGGUAGUCCACGCAGUAAACGAUGAUGGCUAACCGCUGGGUUCAUGGAUUCAGUGGCUAAGUGAAAGCGAUAAGCCAUCCACCUGGGGAGUACGACCGCAAGGUUGAAACUCAAAGGAAUUGACGGGGGCCCGCACAAGCGGAGGAACAUGUGGUUUAAUUCGAUGAUACGCGAGGAACCUUACCCGGGCUCGAACGGCUAGUGAACGAUACAGAGAUGUAGAGGUCCUUCGGGACACUAGUCGAGGUGCUGCAUGGUUGUCGUCAGCUCGUGCCGUGAGGUGUCGGCUCAAGUGCCUUAACGAGCGCAACCCUUGCCGUCAGUUACCAUCAAGUAGUGUUGGGGACUCUGGCGGGACUGCCACCGCAAGGUGUGAGGAGGGGGGGGAUGACGUCAAAUCAGCACGGCCCUUACGUCCGGGGCGACACACGUGUUACAAUGGCGGCUACAGAGGGAAGCCACCCAGCGAUGGGGCGCGGAUCUCGAAAGGUCGUCUCAGUUCGGAUCGGAGUCUGCAACCCGACUCCGUGAAGCUGGAUUCGCUAGUAAUCGCGCAUCAGCCAUGGCGCGGUGAAUACGUUCCCGGGCCU